ACGAACCCCUUCAGGAGUAUGCCGCCUAGUUGAUGAAUGUCCACACACCUAUCGCUCUAGUUGUUUCUAGUACAGGGGAUGCCUAGAUUGAUUGGUUCUUCUGAGUGCAUAGGUUGUAACGUAGCUUUGUUCUAGAUUUGCAGGGGUAUGAGUCGUGCGUUUGAAUGUGCUUGGUUUUAUUAGUCUGCAUUCAUAAGCUUUGUAGCUAAGUUAUAUCUAAGUCUCAUAUUGGUUAGGAAUCCUUGUUGUUUGUCUCCCG
rnacentral:lncRNA from 1 species